rnacentral:rRNA from 1 species
AGUCUGCCUUGAAGAUCGGAGUGCUUGCACUCUGUGAAACAAGAUACAGGCUAGCGGCGGACGGGUGAGUAACACGUGAGUAACCUGCCCAAGAGAUCGGGAUAACACCUGGAAACAGAUGCUAAUACCGGAUAACAACAGAUGAUGCCUAUCAACUGUUUAAAAGAUGGUUCUGCUAUCACUCUUGGAUGGACCUGCGGUGCAUUAGCUAGUUGGUAGGGUAACGGCCUACCAAGGCGAUGAUGCAUAGCCGAGUUGAGAGACUGAUCGGCCACAUUGGGACUGAGACACGGCCCAAACUCCUACGGGAGGCAGCAGUAGGGAAUCUUCCACAAUGGACGCAAGUCUGAUGGAGCAACGCCGCGUGAGUGAAGAAGGGUUUCGGCUCGUAAAGCUCUGUUGUUGGUGAAGAAGGACAGGGGUAGUAACUGACCUUUGUUUGACGGUAAUCAAUUAGAAAGUCACGGCUAACUACGUGCCAGCAGCCGCGGUAAUACGUAGGUGGCAAGCGUUGUCCGGAUUUAUUGGGCGUAAAGCGAGUGCAGGCGGUUCGAUAAGUCUGAUGUGAAAGCCUUCGGCUCAACCGGAGAAUUGCAUCAGAAACUGUCGAGCUUGAGUACAGAAGAGGAGAGUGGAACUCCAUGUGUAGCGGUGAAAUGCGUAGAUAUAUGGAAGAACACCGGUGGCGAAGGCGGCUCUCUGGUCUGUUACUGACGCUGAGGCUCGAAAGCAUGGGUAGCGAACA